rnacentral:rRNA from 1 species
CGGUAGGGCAAGUCUGGUGCCAGCAGCCGCGGUAAUUCCAGCUCCAAUAGCGUAUAUUAAAGUUGUUGCAGUUAAAAGCUCGUAGUUGAAUUUCGGGAUCAAUAUGUUGGUCGUGCCUUGGUACGUACUAAUUUAUUGGUUUCUUCCUUCUGACGAACCAUGAUGUCAUUAAUUUGGUGUCUUGGGGAAUCAGGACUGUUACUUGAAAAAUUAGAGUGUUUAAAGCAGGCUCACGCUUGAAUACAUUAGCAUGGAAUAACGGAAUAGGACGUUUGAUUUUAAUUUUGUUGGUUUCUAGGAUCGACGUAAUGAUUAAUAGGGAUAGUUGGGGGCAUUAGUAUUCAAUUGUCAGAGGUAAAAUUCUUGGAUUUAUUGAAGACUAACUACUGCGAAAGCAUUUGCCAAGGAUGUUUUCAUUAAUCAAGAACGAAAGUUAGGGGAUCGAAGACGAUCAGAUACCGUCGUAGUCUUAACCAUAAACUAUGCCGACUAGGGAUCGGAUGAUGUUAAUUUUUUUAAUGACUCAUUCGGCGCCUUACGG